UUGGAGACAGGUGCUGCAUGGCUGUCGUCAGCUCGUGUCGUGAGAUGUUGGGUUAAGUCCCGCAACGAGCGCAACCCUUGUCUUUAGUUGCCAUCAUUUAGUUGGGCACUCUAAAGAGACUGCCGGUGUCAAACCGGAGGAAGGUGGGGAUGACGUCAAGUCCUCAUGGCCUUUAUGACCAGGGCUACACACGUACUACAAUGGCCGGUACAAAGGGCAGCCACUUAGCGAUAAGGAGCCAAUCCCGUAAAGCCGGUCUCAGUCCGGAUUGGAGUCUGCAACUCGACUCCAUGAAGUUGGAAUCGCUAGUAAUCGCAGAUCAGCACGCUGCGGUGAAUACGUUCCCGGGCCUU
rnacentral:rRNA from 1 species